GACGACCAGAACGGCAACACGACUCAUAAUCGUGUUGUCGGUGGUUCGAACCCACCCGCCGCCACCA
rnacentral:tRNA from 1 species